rnacentral:rRNA from 1 species
CAAGGAAUUUUGUGCAAUGGGCGAAAGCCUGACACAGCGACGCCGCGUGGGGGAUGAAGGCUUUCGGGUCGUAAACCCCUUUUCUCAGGGAUGAAUAAUGACAGUACCUGGGGAAUAAGCCACGGCUAACUACGUGCCAGCAGCCGCGGUAAUACGUAGGUGGCAAGCGUUAUCCGGAUUUAUUGGGCGUAAAGAGGGCGCAGGCGGCUUUUCAAGUCGGGUGUAAAAUCUCCCAGCUUAACUGGGAGGGACCAUUCGAUACUGCUAAGCUAGAGUGCAACAGGGGGAGGUAGAAUUCCCGGUGUAGUGGUGAAAUGCGUAGAUAUCGGGAGGAAUACCAGUAGCGAAGGCGGCCUCCUGGGUUGUUACUGACGCUUAAGCCCGAAGGCGUGGGGAGCAAACAGG